GAGUUUGAUCCUGGCUCAGGAUGAACGCUGGCGGCGUGCCUAAUACAUGCAAGUCGAGCGGUAAGGCCUCUUCGGAGGUACACGAGCGGCGGACGGCUGAGUAACACGUAGGAACGUACCCCAAAGUGAGGGAUAAGCACCAGAAAUGGUGUCUAAUACCGCAUGUGCUCUAAGGAGUAAAGCUUCGGCGCUUUGGGAGCGGCCUGCGCAUGAUUAGUUUGUUGGUGAGGUAAUGGCUUACCAAGACUACGAUCAUUAGCUGGUCUGAGAGGAUGACCAGCCAGACUGGAACUGAGAACGGUCCAGACUCCUACGGGAGGCAGCAGUAGGGAAUUUUCCACAAUGGACGAAAGUCUGAUGGAGCAACGCCGCGUGCAGGAUGAAUGUCUUCGGAUUGUAAACUGCUUUUAUCUGUGACGAAUAUGACGGUAGCAGAUGAAUAGGGAUCGGCUAACUCCGUGCCAGCAGCCGCAGUAAU
rnacentral:rRNA from 1 species